rnacentral:rRNA from 1 species
GGGCCCGCACAAGCGGUGGAGCAUGUGGUUUAAUUCGAUGCAACGCGAAAAACCUUACCUACCCUUGACAUCCUGCAAAGGUGCUAGAGAUAGCGCUGUGCCUUCGGGAAUGCAGUGACAGGUGCUGCAUGGCUGUCGUCAGCUCGUGUCGUGAGAUGUUGGGUUAAGUCCCGUAACGAGCGCAACCCUUGUCCUUAGUUGCCAGCAUUUAGUUGGGGACUCUAAGGAGACUGCCGGUGUUAAACCGGAGGAAGGUGGGGACGAUGUCAAGUCAUCAUGGCCUUUAUGGGUAGGGCUACACACGUGCUACAAUGGGCAGUACAGAGGGACGCGAGACCGCGAGGUCGAGCCAAUCUUGAAAGCUGUUCGUAGUCCGGAUUGGAGUCUGCAACUCGACUCCAUGAAGUCGGAAUCGCUAGUAA